rnacentral:misc_RNA from 1 species
UGUCUCGGCGAAGCCACCGGACGAUGACAGGGAUGACAAGGUCGUGAC